rnacentral:misc_RNA from 1 species
AUGUGUUAGGGAUUGAAGCGGAUAGCCCGCAGGUGCUGGAGCUAUAGCGGAAUGCACCGAGGACUUGCAGCGAAAAGCCCGACCCGAC